AACGAACGCUGGCGGCGCGCCUAACACAUGCAAGUCGAACGAGAAGGCGUAGCAAUACGCUUGUAAAGUGGCGAACGGGUGAGGAAUACGUGGGUAACCUACCCUCGAGUGGGGAAUAACCAACCGAAAGGUUGGCUAAUGCCGCGUACGCUUCCAUCUCUUCGGAGGUGGAAGGAAAGCUGUACCGUGGGUACAGCGCUCAAGGAUGGGCUCACGUCCUAUCAGCUUGUUGGUAGGGUAACGGCCACCAAGGCAACGACGGGUAGCUGGUCUGAGAGGACGAUCAGCCACACUGGCACUGCGACACGGGCCAGACUCCUACGGGAGGGCAGCAGUGAGGAAUAUUGCGCAAUGGGCGAAAGCCUGACGCAGCGACGCCGCGU
rnacentral:rRNA from 1 species